GCCUUCAAAAUUAUUUUUUAUUUUUCUCUCGCCUUGCAGCUUCUUCCAGAAACAAUCGCUAUCUUUCUCCCUGCAUCUUUUUCAAUCACCGAAACAAUUUCCAUCUUCACUCUGCAUCUUCGUCAAUCACCCACGUAAUUUGUCGAGUCCAUCUAAAGUUUCAUGAAUUAGUCUACAUACAAAUUUCAAUCUCAGCAAAUCUCACGAAGCUCAAAGAUUUUCCUCGCAUCUCAGCAUUCAAAUUCGUCGAUCACCGAAACAAUCUCCCUCGCUGUGUCCAUCUACGAUUCACGAAUCAGUUUGUGAUUAAUCAAAUUUGAGAGGAAAUGAACCAUCUACCCCAUACCCGUCACAGCCCUCCCCUUAAGCCAAACAAGUUUGCACGCCGGCGAGAGGAAAAAGUCAUGUACGCCAAAAUUUUCAGUUACAAGUUAGUUUUUGCCUAAUCCUUUUUUGAUUGAAUGUAUAGUUUCAAAGAUAAAUAUGUGUGGUCAUCUAUUUAUUUAUUCAAUGAAUCUUGUGUUUUUAUUCUCUGCGAAUUUACCCAGAUAUUGUCUGUGUUUUGUAGUUCUAAUCUGAAUGGGUAAAGCAUAAGAUAUUUAAAUGACUUUUUAUUGUAUAUAGACAAUAUUUAAUUUUUCACCAGAAUAACAUGAUGGCUCUGAUCAACUGUUCUCCCUGGCCCUUCUUUUAAAUUGUGGGGGUGAAGAUUCAAGGCUUCUGUGGUUUAGGUAAGUUGGAGAAAAUUGGAAGAAAAGAUGUAAGAAUUGUCAUUUGUAUUUGAUAGAUGGAUGCAAGAGGAGUUUGGUGUCUUAUUUUCUUAAUGUGGUUUUUCCUUCCUCCUUUUAUUUUAUAUUCUUAUCCUUGAUUACUCCCAGAUAUAGGGUGCUUGGGAAGUAAUGUAAUAGAAAAAAAUAUGCAUUUCAUGUAUUUAAAAUUGCUGGCUGAUAUGUCUUCAAGUGAGGAUUCUUUGAGCUUUUAUCUUGCUCUGACAUGUUAAUUAGAGAUGCUCCCGAUAAUAUAUAGCAAAUGACACAACACAUUCAUAUGUAGAAUGUAACCUGUGAUGGCUGGCUGUAAUUGAUAUAUGGUGGCAUUGCGUAUUUGCGUGUUGAGAAUUGUAUUUGUAAUAUGGAAUCUGGUGUUUGAAUCAUGAAGGAAUGAGUAAAGAAAAUACAAAUUGUUAUUAUGUUGAAGAGGAUGGGGAGGAUGAAGAAGAGGCUGACGAUGAGGUAUAAUUUAUUCUAUCCCUGAUACCUUUGAAGUCUGUUUCUUUUGUGUUGUUGGAUUCUGUUGUGUGUUUCUGUUUGACAAGAGAAUUUAAAGAUGAAUGAAUAUAUUUGGUCACUCAAUCUCACUAUGAGCACACCAGUAGCUUAGCCUAAUUAAAAGCAAAGCACUUUUUAUCCAAGAAUCUUAAAAAUCAAAUAUUUAAUGUGGUUUGUCAAUCUGGUUAUAUUUUUUCUGUGAAUUGAGAAGCGAAGUAAAAGCAAACUCACUUUUAUAUAUGUCUAUAUAGGGUGGGGAUCUACAAAGAAUCCCCUUUGUCUAAAGAUUAAAGAAUUAAUCUUAACCAUACAAUCUGAAUAGAUUAAUGGCCAGGAUUACAUCUAAUUAAUUAUUAAUCCCGUUUUUAUUUUUUCUGAAUAAGCUAAAAAAUUUGUGAAAAAUACGUUUAGGGGUGUUUGUGUCAGUUUCAAUAUUCACUGAACUGUCGCUCCUAAAUUUACGCGUGUAAUUAAGGAAUUUACUCUCUCCCACCCACGUCUUUCCAAACAAACUCCUCACUUUGAAAACCCUACACCAGACGCAUCUCCUCCCAAACGAACGGCGAUUCGUCUCCUCCUAAACGAACCCUACCCCUGUCCUUGGGCGGCAUCUCCUCCGCCCCAAAGCCAAAGCGUCAGUUAGUGGCCGUCGGCAUAGACGAAGGCAGUGAGGCGGAGCAGCGGCUGAGUGGUUCCGAUCUAUUGAGGGCGCUCCAGAGGGCCGCAGCCAACAAAUCUAAGGAGAAAGCGAAUAGGAAUUACGAUAAUGAUGCAGCAGCAACAUGGAGAGGAAAUGAGCAGUCAUCUACAGUUAAGCCCAUCCGCAUCGAUCCUCAAUGGCCUCAUCAAUUGCACCAGCUGGUGACCAGACUUCGCCAACUCCCUCGUGCCUGAUACUCAUACACCUUCUGUUCCUUCUUCCCAAUAAUUUGCCUCUUUUAUGAUAUGUUGUCUGAUUUGAUUAAUUUGACUUUUCACCUAAUCUAGAAAGAAUUAGUCAUGAUGCUCAUAAAUUUAUAGUACUAGUAUUCAAUUUGGGGAAGCUUCGUCCCCAUCAUCAGGAUUUCAUUAGAAUGGAAUUUGGAUUUAAAAUUAGUUUUCUGAUUAUCAUCACAGGAUGUAGUGAUUACAGGUUAUCAUCUAAGAUUAUGUUGUUGUAUAAAAAUUGAUUAUACGCUAUUCGGUAUGUUAUGAAGUUUAUUCAUAACUUUUCCAA